CAGUGGUCUGGAACACCACCAAGAACCCAGCUAGGAGUGUGGAGGGUGGGCAGCUGGAACUCAGGUCCCUGCCUGAGGUUUUGGUGCAGAGAUUUGAAGGUGUUGGACCCGGGACCAUGUGUAGCCGUGGAGAUCGUGGUGGCUUUUUCCUCAAUCAGCAAGCUAAAUGACACAACCAGAGGCUCCAUGACAGUCCCAAGGCACCAUCAAAAGACCAAAAAGUGGGAGUGGCCCAGUUCCUGGAAAUCUCCACUCCUUCCCCAAGAUGCUUCCCAAUGCCCACUUGACUUCACACUUCAGGAUGUCUGGCUCUAGGGACAAGAAAACUCCCCUGCUCAACCUGGAGGAAGAGCUGAUGAUGGAAGCAUGACGUCUACUCAGGAAAGACAAAGAAGUUCUCCCCCUCUCCACUUUUCCUUUGAUUAUAAAACCGUAGCUCUGUAAGUUCUUGGGGCACGAUACACCCUCACCAGUUGCUUGUAAGCCUCACAAGCAUCCUCUUCUAAUAAAUCACUUCU